UCCGAGCGGUAGCACAGAGAGCUUGCUCUCGGGUGACGAGCGGCGGACGGGUGAGUAAUGUGUGGGAAACUGCCUGAUGGAGGGGGAUAACUACUGGAAACGGUAGCUAAUACCGCAUAACGUCGCAAGACCAAAGUGGGGGACCUUCGGGCCUCAUGCCAUCAGAUGUGCCCAGAUGGGAUUAGCUGGUAGGUGGGGUAACGGCUCACCUAGGCGACGAUCCCUAGCUGGUCUGAGAGGAUGACCAGCCACACUGGAACUGAGACACGGUCCAGACUCCUACGGGAGGCAGCAGUGGGGAAUAUUGCACAAUGGGCGCAAGCCUGAUGCAGCCAUGCCGCGUGUGUGAAGAAGGCCUUCGGGUUGUAAAGCACUUUCAGCGGGGAGGAAGGCGGUGAGGUUAAUAACCUCAUCGAUUGACGUUACCCGCAGAAGAAGCACCGGCUAACUCCGUGCCAGCAGCCGCGGUAAUACGGAGGGUGCAAGCGUUAAUCGGAAUUACUGGGCGUAAAGCGCACGCAGGCGGUCUGUCAAGUCGGAUGUGAAAUCCCCGGGCUCAACCUGGGAACUGCAUUCGAAACUGGCAGGCUAGAGUCUUGUAGAGGGGGGUAGAAUUCCAGGUGUAGCGGUGAAAUGCGUAGAGAUCUGGAGGAAUACCGGUGGCGAAGGCGGCCCCCUGGACAAAGACUGACGCUCAGGUGCGAAAGCGUGGGGAGCAAACAGGAUUAGAUACCCUGGUAGUCCACGCUGUAAACGAUGUCGAUUUGGAGGUUGUGCCCUUGAGGCGUGGCUUCCGGAGCUAACGCGUUAAAUCGACCGCCUGGGGAGUACGGCCGCAAGGUUAAAACUCAAAUGAAUUGACGGGGGCCCGCACAAGCGGUGGAGCAUGUGGUUUAAUUCGAUGCAACGCGAAGAACCUUACCUGGUCUUGACAUCCACAGAACUUUCCAGAGAUGGUUUGGUGCCUUCGGGAACUGUGAAACAGGUGCUGCAUGGCUGUCGUCAGCUCGUGUUGUGAAAUGUUGGGUUAAGUCCCCCAACGACCGCAACCCUUUUUCUUUUGUUGCCAGCGGUUCGGGCCGGGAACUCAAAGGAGACUGCCAAUUGAUAAACUGGGAGGAAGGGUGGGGAUGACGUCAAGUCAUCAUGGGCC
rnacentral:rRNA from 1 species